AAUUCUCUCGGUUUAGUUUAUUAUGUUUUCGUCACUUUAGUUCCUAAAAUAAUAUGUAAAAAUUAAUAAAUAUUUAGAUUUAAUAAGUUACUUGUUAUUAUUAUCGUUGUGGUUCCGGUCCGUCACUGUCCUCCAGCUCGCAUCCUUUGUCCCAUCCUGUAGAAUAGUCCCGAAAAAGUGUCCUGUCCCUGAUGCUCCCGUUGAUGUGAUGUAUUUUUCAGUUGUUGUCCAUAGCUGCUGCCAUCCUUUCCCGUUUUCCAUUUGUUUUUCUUGGAUUAAUUUCUCGAAUAUCCUUGUUAAGUCCUCUGUUUCCUCCAGUUGUUGUCGAGAAUUGUCCUGUCCUAGCCCUUUCCAGUGUUUUGGUACCCAUCCUAGUCGUCCUCGUCCUUCGUUCGGUCGUUUCCCCAGCAACAUUCCAGUCCAAUCGGUGAUGCUGCUUCCCUUGUAGAACCUAACCUGUGAAAGAAAAAGAAAAACAAAGAGCUUUACACCUAAUAGUUGGAACGACUUACCAUUUUUACUUUCCUUUUUCAACGUCGUCCAUAUCGCUCACAAGGUUUUUCCUUCUCAAAAAAAAAAAAAAAAAAACACGGAAUCGUCCGUGUAAUAAAAAAAUUAAAACCCGAACUUCCACUGCACUGACAAACCAUCGCACCGGUUUGUUUACUUCUCGAACAUUCUUUUAGUUGGCAAUAGCGUGAGUGAAUUGUGUGAGUGUAUUGGGAGAAUGAGUGUACAUCGCUUGUAAGCGAGGGGUGCGUGAAUGUUGGAUUGGUUGAAUAUUUAGUUUCGUUUUGUGAUUUUGUUAGGAAAAAGGUCAUCUCAUCGUUGGUAGCAUGCCAACGAUUGAGAAUGACGAACUUUAAGAUCUUUCUUCGGAUGGGAGCAGGAGAUCUUUGGAUUUUUCCAGAGUAGCUUCCAUAUCCGAAGAAAUUUCGGGCAAAUUUAAGAUGGAUAUUGUUUCAUUCCUUUUUACUUGGAUAAAGUUCUGAGGUCGGAAUGAACAAUAUUCAUUGAGUUAUUUUUUCGACGUAGGUCGAUAGUACGUUCUUUUUACAUCUCCAGAAAUACUUCUAUUAAUGAGAAGUGGAGGAUGUAAAGAUUUUAGUUAUAGUUUUGAGUAAUUUCGAGUAUAUUUUUUCUUCAUUUUGUGUAAAUAGGAUUGUCAACUAAAUAGUAGCUCUGGAAGGUCAGAUCGAUUGAUGUUUUUUUUUCUCGAGUUUUUUCUUGUCUCUCAGUUCAGUAGUUUUCGGUUAGUUAGUUCUCUAUAAUACCAGUAAUUUUUGAUGGGCGUUUAGAGUUAACCUUUGUAGGGUUUCACAUGACAUUUCGCUGGAGACCGGAGCUGCAAAGCGUUGAUGGUCAGUUACAGACAGAUCAAUUGAUCUGAUACUGGAAAUAGAGGAUGAGUCAAUUCAGUUUGACGAUGACCACAUAUGACCCCGAAAAUGUUACUAAACAAUUCUGCGAAGGGAGACUCUAUUUUCGCCUUCGAAAAUUUGAUUGGUGCAGGCCAAUCAAAUUUUCGAAAAUUAAGCAGGGAAUGAUGUAGCACGGUACUGAUUUCGACUUUUGGAAGCCCCUCGUUUCGUUAUUUUGAAUUUCAGAUCCAACACAAUCUCUCCUGUGUGGAUCUGGGAUUCUCUCUUCUUUCUAUGUAUUGGAUGUUUGGCAACGCGAGUGCCGCUCCCGAUUUUAGAUUUGAGCAACUAGCCAUAAUGGGUGCUGGAUGUGACUGGGCGGCUGGUUUAGCCAAGACACCCACAUACCAACACUCCGAAAGACUCAUGCUUUCUUUCUUUUUGCUAUUUUUUCAUUUGGAUAUUUCCCCCAAAUAGCAGAGUCUUUCGGCGGGGUUUUCUUGUUCUUCAAAUUUCAAAACCCGGCGAGCGCUUCGACUUGAACUCUGCUCGGGAGGUUAAAGGGUAUCGCCCGCGAAUGCUUGAAUGCGCGACCAAUGAAAGCGCAGGGGAAUUUCGGUGUGAAUACGGAAUAGUUAACAUCGUUAACUAUUACGUAAUUCCGGUUCCAAUGAAUGUCUCGCUGAUCUGAGGAUCUUGAGAUAUGCUUGCCCAUUCCGACUUCGACCGUGGAAUAGGCAGGGCGGACCAGUUUUUUUUGCAUCGCGAGUGGACGGUAAAAAGUUAGUUUAAAAUAAGUUUUUCCGAGAAAUCGAAAAGUGUAAUUCUUCGCUUGUGUUCCCGUUUAGCGAAAUCAAAGGAAGGAGCCGUAUCCUGACCCCAUGAUCGAAGAUUGGAUCUUCGCCACCACAUCAGUCAAACCAGGUGGCCGCGCGAAGCGCGAAUCGUCACUCGAAUCAAGGGAAGGCGCAGCACGGCACCACUACAUGUCGGAUGCGCAUUCAACGUCUACGUCCCAUCAUCUACGCCUACGGACUCGUCAUUCAUCGCCUACCGUGGAACGGCGGUAAAGUAGAUGCACGUAAAGCCUAGGUAGUGUGAGUACAAAACUUCUUUCACCCUAAAAAUAACA